AUUAACUCGUGUGGGUGCGAGAAGCGCCCUAUUAACCGUCCUGCUCUUCGGGACGGAGCCUUAACAGCUGCCUGCCGCUUGCUGUGAUGAAGUUUGGGUCUUACGCAAUGAUUCCCCGUGAACCGUGUCAGAUUGGGAACAAAGCAGCACUAAGCGGGCCCUAUCAUGUGCCGUGAGGGUGCCUGGCGGAGCAGUAAGCGCAGUAACGUGUUAAGGUUCCGUCGCGGAGAGCAGUUUUU
rnacentral:SRP_RNA from 1 species